GUGCUCGCUUCACAUACACAUAUACUAAAAUUGGAAUGACACAGAGAAGAUUAGCAUGGGCCCUGCACAAGGAUGACACACAAAUUCUUAAAACAAAAGGCAUGUGA